UGCGCCCGGCUCACUGACUGCGACCUGCGCUCCGUCUUGUGGCUCUUGUCCUGCUGGAUCUCUGGAAAUUUGUGCGCUGAGGUGCGAUCCGGCGCCGCAGGACUUUACGCCGAGAUCACGUAUUUUCUCUGCCAGGCCGUGGUUAACGUCUCUGAGAUGAAACCCGAACAGGAUGCUGGGUUUUGGAGCGGAAAACAAUGAGGUUCAUUAUGAGCCUAAUGUGGCUCACAGUCGGUUUGGCAGGAACAAAGCCCGGGUCGGGUUCUGCAGGUCCAGUAGCGCGAAGAAUCAGCCGGCCGUCCUUCUCCCCCUGGAAACUGCUGAGCUCAAAGUUGACGUCAGCCAUUUUCUCCUGCGGUUUGAGUCGUUUGAAUCCUGGAGGAUGAAGGUGAAACGCUGUGAACCCGACAGCUGAUAGUCAUAGCAGGAUAUCUAGGAACAUGUAAAACAUUUCUGAAGCUCCGUUUGUCCUGCUGCAGCCGCCUCUCGCUGCAUCGAGCUCCCUGACUUACGUAAGCGAUUCGCUCACCGGCUCCAGGGUGGAAUACGUUCAUCACGACCCGUCGCCGUGGUUCUGGAUCAGCAGCAGAACCGAGGCGGCGCAGAGCGGGAACAACACUUUUAAUAAAAACCCUCAGCAGAGGCUUCACUGGCCCUUCACAGCGGCGCAUUAACAGUCUGCUGAAUAAAGCAGAACCAGAACAGAACCAGAACCGGGCUGAUGUUUCCAGUGUGGACAGGACCUGAAAACAUAUUAAUCCGUUCAUUAAAAUUUUUAGUAUCUAUUCAGAAAAAUGAGCUGAGGACUCCAAGAAUCUCAGUCUGGAAAAACAUCAAAUCCGUUCAUGAGCAUCCAGUUAAUGAUUAAUUUACUAAUCAAUUAUUGACAAUUAAUCAGAUUUUU